CAGUAGCCGCGGUAAUACGAAGGGGGCUAGCGUUGCUCCGAAUGACUGGGCGUAAAGGGCGCGUAGGCGGCGAUCAAAGUCAGGCGUGAAAUUCCUGGGCUUAACCUGGGGACUGCGCUUAAUACAGGCAGUCUAGAGUGAGGAAGAGGGUUGUGGAAUUCCCAGUGUAGAGGUGAAAUUCGUAGAUAUUGGGAAGAACACCGGUGGCGAAGGCGGCAACCUGGUCCUUGACUGACGCUGAGGCGCGAAAGCGUGGGGAGCAAACAGGAUUAGAUACCCCGGUAGUCCCUGUCUCUUAUAC
rnacentral:rRNA from 1 species